CCUACUUAGUCGGGCUUAGUUCUGCGCAGCGGGAACAUUUUUACACGUUUGUAUGAAAUAGCUUUAUACCAAGGACAAGACAUAUUUAUGAGCUACCAUUCAAGUUUCAUCUGAAGCAGUAAGACAUUCCACGGUUUUGGCAUCCUUUUAAAUGCAUGCAAAGACAUUCUUGAUGACAGAAGGUUCACACACAGUUUGACAGCUGUUGUACAGUGUCAUGUUUCUCUGUAGUGGCCUGCUUGAUGUGGUCAGUUUGGGAUGAUAUGUAUUGGACCCAAGGUGGAGCAGUGGUCAUUACCCACCGUCACCCAUCACCAUGCCAAAAACACCUCCUUGCAGCUCCAGUCUCCAUACAGCAUGGUGUCUUCUAGGUGAACUGACUUUACCUGGCUGAACAUGGG